rnacentral:rRNA from 1 species
GAUGAACGCUGGCGGCGUGCCUAAUACAUGCAAGUCGAGCGAACAGACGAGGAGCUUGCUCCUUUGACGUUAGCGGCGGACGGGUGAGUAACACGUGGGUAACCUACCUAUAAGACUGGGAUAACUUCGGGAAACCGGAGCUAAUACCGGAUAAUAUUUCGAACCGCAUGGUUCGAUAGUGAAAGAUGGCUUUGCUAUCACUUAUAGAUGGACCUGCGCCGUAUUAGCUAGUUGGUAAGGUAACGGCUUACCAAGGCAACGAUACGUAGCCGACCUGAGAGGGUGAUCGGCCACACUGGAACUGAGACACGGUCCAGACUCCUACGGGAGGCAGCAGUAGGGAAUCGUCCGCAAUGGGCGAAAGCCUGACGGAGCAACGCCGCGUGAGUGAUGAAGGUCUUCGGAUCGUAAAACUCUGUUAUUAGGGAAGAACAAACGUGUAAGUAACUGUGCACGUCUUGACGGUACCUAAUCAGAAAGCCACGGCUAACUAC